GAUGAAGAACGCAGCGAAAUGCGAUAAGUAAUGUGAAUUGCAGAAUUCAGUGAAUCAUCGAAUCUUUGAACGCACCUUGUGCCCUUUGGCUAUUCCGAAGGGCAUGCCUGUUUGAGUAUCAUGAACACCUCAACUCUCAUGGUUUGCCAUGAUGAGCUUGGACUUUGGGGGUCUUGCCGGCCUAUGGGUCGGCUCCUCUCAAAUUAAUCAGCUUGCCAGUGUUUGGUGGCAUCACAGGUGUGAUAACUAUCUACGCUUGUGGUUUUCCAUCAGGUAACCUUCAGUGAUGGAGGUUCGCUGGGGCUCAUAAAUGUCUCUCCUCAGUGAGGACAGCUUUUUUGAACGUUUGAUCUCAAAUCAGGUAGGACUACCCGCUGAACUUAAGCAUAUCAAUAAGCGGAGGA
rnacentral:misc_RNA from 1 species